rnacentral:rRNA from 1 species
GGAGCUAAUCCCUUAAAGCUACUCUCAGUUCGGAUUGUAGGCUGAAACUCGCCUACAUGAAGCUGGAGUUACUAGUAAUCGCAGAUCAGAAUGCGGCGGUGAAUGCGUUCCCGGGUCUUGUACACACCGCCCGUCACACCACGGGAGUUGGAGACGCCCGAAGCCGAUUAUCUAACCUUGUGGAAGAAGUCGUCGAAGGUGGAAUUAAUAACUGGGGUGAAGUCGUAACAAGGUAGCCGUAUCGGAAGGUGCGGCUGGAUCACCUCCUUUCUAAGGAGA